GGUAAGCGCCCUCCCGAGGGUUAAGCUACCUACUUCUUUUGCAACCCACUCCCAUGGUGUGACGGGCGGUGUGUACAAGGCCCGGGAACGUAUUCACCGUGGCAUUCUGAUCCACGAUUACUAGCGAUUCCGACUUCAUGGAGUCGAGUUGCAGACUCCAAUCCGGACUACGACAUACUUUAUGAGGUCCGCCUGCUCUCGCGAGGUCGCUUCUCUUUGUAUAUGCCAUUGUAGCACGUGUGUAGCCCUACUCGUAAGGGCCAUGAUGACUUGACGUCAUCCCCACCUUCCUCCAGUUUAUCACUGGCAGUCUCCUUUGAGUUCCCGGCCUAACCGCUGGCAACAAAGGAUAAGGGUUGCGCUCGUUGCGGGACUUAACCCAACAUUUCACAACACGAGCUGACGACAGCCAUGCAGCACCUGUCUCAGAGUUCCCGAAGGCACCAAAGCAUCUCUGCUAAGUUCUUGGAUGUAAGAGUAGGUAAGGUCUUCGCGUUGCAUCGAAUUAAACCACAUGCUCACCGCUUGUGCGGGCCCCGUCAAUUCAUUUGAGUUUAACCUUGCGGCGUACUCCAGGCGGUCGACUAACGCGUAGCUCCGGAGGCACGCCUAAGGGCACAACCUUCAAGUCGACAUCGUACGGGGGGCUACCAGGG
rnacentral:rRNA from 1 species